ACUUUCCAAUUGUUUGUGCAGUUCAAGUCUGCAGACAUUUGCUAAUCUCCCGUCAGAACAGGAUCUGCACACGUGUUCACAUUUUCCAUCUGUUGCCCUCAUUGUUUUCGUUACUAAUAAUAACUUUGGAAAUGUGUGCGUUUCUAUCAAAUGGCGCAGCGGUCAAAGGCACAGCACGGGGUCAAAGGCACAGCACGGUGCUAGAGACGUCACUACAGACUCCCUGGUUCAAAUCCAUGCUGCGUUUCUAAAAACCACAAACAGUAUUUGCCAAUAUCAUAACUGGACAUCUUUCGAGCUGAAGAUUGAGGACAGCUUUUGUAUGCUAACGUUCUCUCCUUAACAGUUUUACUGGAUGGAAACACAGCAAGAAAACACAUAGGCCAAUAUGCAUAGUAUCAUGGCAGGUCACCUGUCAAGUCACCUGUCAGGUCAGUCAGUCACUUAUUGCUGCAGAUGUGCUCAAUAAUGCUUGAGCAUGUGAUACUCCUCAAAGCAUGGUGAAAUACAUAGAGGUGUAUCACAAGCUAAACACAUGUAUUUUGUCAUCUUCCUCUGCUUACUUCUCCUGGCGCCAGACAGGCAGACUUUGCAGUGCCUCCGUGUGCGACUACCUUGAGCAGCAGUUUGAGGGACUUUGCAGGGAAAAUGCCGUGCAGUGAGGCGUAGGGGAUUGUCUAAAGCAGGGCGACCCCCAGUGGAGGGGCGCCGAGGGGUGUGGUGCUCCUCCAACAGCUCUCUCAUGAGGUUCUCUCUGUAUUUUUGGUGGUCCACCUUCCCUGUGGCCGACAUGGUUGCUGUAUGGACAGUGGAGAGGACAUGGACGUCUCUUUUGUCAUGCCACUUUACUGCCAGCUGUUGACCGUUCUCCUGGAACUCCACCUCCCCUCUCUGCAUCUUCCUGCAUCCGAAUGCCGGCAUCCCCUUCCUGUUCGACCUGACUGUGCCACAGGCCCCUGUGCUGUUGGAGAGCAGAUGCUGGAAGAGUGUGGGACUGCUGUACCAAUUGUCCACGUACAAAGUGUGUCCCUUGCCGAGAUGAGGAGCCAGCAUG